AGAAUCCCGUGAACCAUCGAGUCUUUGAACGCAAGUUGCGCCCGAGGCCAUUAGGUUGAGGGCACGUCUGCCUGGGCGUCACAC
rnacentral:rRNA from 1 species